AGAACGAACGCUGGCGGCAUGCCUAACACAUGCAAGUCGAACGAGACCUUCGGGUCUAGUGGCGCACGGGUGCGUAACGCGUGGGAAUCUGCCCAAAGGUUCGGAAUAACUCGGGGAAACCCGAGCUAAUACCGGAUGAUGUCUUCGGACCAAAGAUUUAUCGCCUUUGGAUGAGCCCGCGUCGGAUUAGCUUGUUGGUGGGGUAAAGGCCUACCAAGGCGACGAUCCGUAGCUGGUCUGAGAGGAUGAUCAGCCACACUGGGACUGAGACACGGCCCAGACUCCUACGGGAGGCAGCAGUGGGGAAUAUUGGACAAUGGGCGAAAGCCUGAUCCAGCAAUGCCGCGUGAGUGAUGAAGGCCCUAGGGUUGUAAAGCUCGUUUACCGGGAUGAUAAUGACAGUACCGGAAGAAUAACGCCCGUACUAACCUCCGUCGCCAGCAGCCGC
rnacentral:rRNA from 1 species